UGCCAGCCGCCGCGGUAAUACGGAGGGUGCAAGCGUUAUCCGGAAUCACUGGGUUUAAAGGGUGCGUAGGCGGCCAAAUAAGUCAGAGGUGAAAGCUCGCAGCUCAACUGCGGAAUUGCCUUUGAUACUGUUUGGCUUGAAUCAGGAUGAGGUCAGCGGAAUGUGGCAUGUAGCGGUGAAAUGCAUAGAUAUGCCAUAGAACACCAAUUGCGAAGGCAGCUGACUAGACCUGUAUUGACGCUGAGGCACGAAAGCGUGGGGAGCGAACAGGAUUAGAUA
rnacentral:rRNA from 1 species